rnacentral:rRNA from 1 species
GACGAACGCUGGCGGCGUGCUUAACACAUGCAAGUCGAACGGAAAGGCCCCUUUGGGGGUACUCGAGUGGCGAACGGGUGAGUAACACGUGAGUAACCUUCCCUUGACUUCGGGAUAACUUCAGGAAACUGGGGCUAAUACCGGAUAGGAAUCCUUGCUGCAUGGUGGGGGUUGGAAAGCUUCGGCGGUUUUGGAUGGACUCGCGGCUUAUCAGCUUGUUGGUGGGGUAGUGGCUUACCAAGGCUUUGACGGGUAGCCGGCCUGAGAGGGCGACCGGCCACAUUGGGACUGGGAUACGGCCCAGACUCCUACGGGAGGCAGCAGUGGGGAAUAUUGAACAAGGGGCGGAAGCCUGAUGCAGCAACGCCGCGUGCGGGAUGACGGACUUCGGGUUGGAAACCGCUUUCAGCAGGGGCGAAGCUUGUGGUGACGGUACCUGCAGAAGAAGCACCGGCUAACUACGUG